rnacentral:misc_RNA from 1 species
CCAAACUUGGUCAUUUAGAGGAAGUAAAAGUCGUAACAAGGUCUCCGUUGGUGAACCAGCGGAGGGAUCAUUACCGCGUCCGAGGGGACCCCCCCCCAGACCACCCUGCGAACCUACCGCGUUGCCUCGGCGGCCGCAGCAGCGCGCCCCGGGACCCCCAACUCCAGCAGCAUCGCGCGAGCGGACUGCCUCUGAGUGGACGCCCGUCGGGCGGACCUUUCUGAACCAUGAAAACUUUCAACAACGGAUCUCUUGGCUCUGGCAUCGAUGAAGAACGCAGC